rnacentral:ncRNA from 1 species
UGACCUCGGAUCAGGUAGGGAUACCCGCUGAACUUAAGCAUAUCAAUAAGCGGAGGAAAAGAAACCAACCGGGAUUGCCUCAGUAACGGCGAGUGAAGCGGCAAGAGCUCAAAUUUGAAAGCUGGCUCCUUCGGAGUCCGCAUUGUAAUUUGCAGAGGAUGCUUUGGGUGCGGCCCCCGUCUAAGUGCCCUGGAACGGGCCGUCAGAGAGGGUGAGAAUCCCGUCUUGGGCGGGGUGUCCGUGCCCGUGUAAAGCUCCUUCGACGAGUCGAGUUGUUUGGGAAUGCAGCUCUAAAUGGGUGGUAAAUUUCAUCUAAAGCUAAAUACUGGCCGGAGACCGAUAGCGCACAAGUAGAGUGAUCGAAAGAUGAAAAGCACUUUGAAAAGAGAGUUAAACAGCACGUGAAAUUGUUGAAAGGGAAGCGCUUGCAACCAGACUCGCCCGCGGGGUUCAGCCGGCAUUCGUGCCGGUGUACUUCCCCGUGGGCGGGCCAGCGUCGGUUUGGGCGGCCGGUCAAAGGCCCCUGGAAUGUAGUGCCCUCCGGGGCACCUUAUAGCCAGGGGUGCAAUGCGGCCAGCCUAGACCGAGGAACGCGCUUCGGCUCGGACGCUGGCAUAAUGGUUGUAAACGACCCGUCUUGAAACACGGACCAAGGAGUCUAACAUCUACGCGAGUGUUCGGGUGUCAAACCCGUGCGCGCAGUGAA